rnacentral:misc_RNA from 1 species
UGGCUCUCGCAUCGAUGAAGAACGCAGCGAAAUGCGAUAAGUAAUGUGAAUUGCAGAAUUCAGUGAAUCAUCGAAUCUUUGAACGCACCUUGCGCUCCUUGGUAUUCCGAGGAGCAUGCCUGUUUGAGUGUCAUGGAAUCAUCAACUUUGAUUUUUUCUUCAUUGAGAGGAUCAAAGCUUGGACUUGGAGGUGUUUAAAUGCUGGCCUUUCUGUGGGUCGGCUCCUCUUGAAUGCAUUAGCUUGAAACCUUUGCUGUAUCGGCUGUCCGGUGUGAUAAUUGUCUACGCCGUGGCUGUGAGGCUUUAAACUUGUGGGCUUCAGCUUCUAAUCGUCCCUUGAACGGGGGACAACAUCGUAAUUGACCUCUGACCUCAAAUCAGGUAGGAUUACCCGCUGA